AGGGGAAACGACAUCGAAAGCUUGCUUUUGAUGGGCGUCGACCGGCGCACGGGUGAGUAACGCGUAUCCAACCUGCCCAUCACUUGGGGAUAACCUUGCGAAAGUAAGACUAAUACCCAAUGAUAUCUCUAGAAGACAUCUGAAAGAGAUUAAAGAUUUAUCGGUGAUGGAUGGGGAUGCGUCUGAUUAGCUUGUUGGCGGGGUAACGGCCCACCAAGGCGACGAUCAGUAGGGGUUCUGAGAGGAAGGUCCCCCACAUUGGAACUGAGACACGGUCCAAACUCCUACGGGAGGCAGCAGUGAGGAAUAUUGGUCAAUGGACGAGAGUCUGAACCAGCCAAGUAGCGUGCAGGAUGACGGCCCUAUGGGUUGUAAACUGCUUUUAUAAGGGAAUAAAGUGAGAGUCGUGACUCUUUUUGCAUGUACCUUAUGAAUAAGGACCGGCUAAUUCCGUGCCAGCAGCCGCGGUAAUACGGAAGGUCCGGGCGUUAUCCGGAUUUAUUGGGUUUAAAGGGAGCGUAGGCCGGAGAUUAAGCGUGUUGUGAAAUGUAGACGCUCAACGUCUGCACUGCAGCGCGAACUGGUUUCCUUGAGUACGCACAAAGUGGGCGGAAUUCGUGGUGUAGCGGUGAAAUGCCUAGAUAUCACGAAGAACUCCGAUUGCGAAGGCAGCUCACUGGAGCGCAACUGACGCUGAAGCUCGAAAGUGCGGGUAUCGAACAGGAUUAGAU
rnacentral:rRNA from 1 species